rnacentral:rRNA from 1 species
UACGUAGGCAGCAAGCGUUGUUCGGAGUUACUGGGCGUAAAGGGUGUGUAGGCGGUUAUUUAAGUUUGGUGUGAAAUCUCCCGGCUCAACCGGGAGGGUGCGCCGAAUACUGAAUGACUUGGAGUGCGGGAGAGGAAAGUGGAAUUCCUGGUGUAGCGGUGAAAUGCGCAGAUAUCAGGAGGAACACCGAUUGCGAAGGCAGCUCGCUGGAACGUUACUGACGCUGAGACGCGAAAGCGUGGGGAGCAAACAGG